AUGAUUCUUCAGCAGCUCUUCCGGUCUUCCUCUGUCAUUCAGGCUGCAGUCUCAGUCUCUUUGAGGAGGAACAUUGGUGUUACAGCAGUGACAUUUAAUAAGAACUUGAUCCUGAUCAGAAACUCUUGGUGGACAAGAUUAGAGAAUAUAGAACUAAGCGACAGACAUCUGGAGGACCUGUUGAUACUGGCCCAGAGUAUCAGCAAGAACAGGACAGGGAGAUUUUUAAGCUUAAGCAACUGUAUGGUAAAGCAGACAUGAAUAUGUUCCCUAACUUCACAUUUGAAGAGCCCAAAUUUGAAGCCAUUGAAAAACCAUAGUCCUGAAGAAAUAAUGUAAAAGUUUUCUGGUAAUUUGUCCUAGAUUAGUUGUACAACUGAUCAGAAGUAUCAGAAUAAACAUACAUUUCACAAC